rnacentral:lncRNA from 1 species
GCCCUUGUCCACUAGAGGCAAACUGCCCGCUGACCCCUUCUUCCAAAUAUGCUCUUUUGUCUCAUGUCUUUUAUUCCCGCUUUCACCCCACUUUGUUCAGUCCCCCUAGGUCCGUGUGGGUUACAUAGUGGCGCCCUGAACAGCGACAGAAUCAGGUGCUCUACAAGUGGCGUCCGAACACAGGGACUAUGAGGAUGUGAAUGAAGAAGAUCUGCUGGAGCAGAGGAAUUGAAAUUGACAAGGUGAAUGGGGAUCCCGGGACAAGUCUGCCGGCAGCAGAUAUAAGGUCAGUGCCCUAAAGAGCUACUGGGAGCAGUGCCUUAAAGUAGUACUGGGAAUGGGAAGUUUUCUGAAUCAGGGUAACAUGGGGCAGAAUUGGUCUGUUGAAGAAAAACAUUAUGUGCAGUUGCUUAAAGUUUUGUUGAAACAAACUGGUGCUCAGGUUAGUUCUCACAUUAACUACGAUGCUACAGGAAGUCAUUAUGCAUAACCCAUGGUUUCCACAGGCAGGGACUCUUGAUGUAGAAAAUUGGGAUAGAGCAGAAGGAUGAAAACAGGCUCAUCAAAAAGGUUUUCAAGUUGAUUCUUCAGUUUUCUCCACUUGGAGUUUAGUUCGUACUGUACUUCUGCCAUUAUCUCCUUGUUAUUCUGCGGGACAGCAGGCUGAAUGUAAAAAACUGAAAGAAUCUGUUGUCCCACCCACAGCUCCAGUUGAAAAUAAGUAAUAGGAGAGGGAGGAUAAAAAUUGGCCUAUACCGCCCCCUCCAGUUGCAGAAACAUCUGUACCGCCUCCUUCGGUGGCAGAAACAGAGACCCCAAUACAAAGAAUUUUACGCUCUGCCACCACGGCUGGAGAGCCCUUAGGACCUUGCACUUUUCCUAUUUCCGUAAGGCCUGAUCCAAAUAAUCCACAGCAGCUUAAUCAUGAACACAUUCCACUAGAGUUUAAGUUGUUAAAGGAAUUAAAAGUGAGUGUGGUAAAUAAUGGCAUACAGAGCCCAUUCACUUUAGGAUUGCUAGAAUCUAUGUUUGGUGCUAUGUGUCUUUUACCCUUUGAUGUGAAACACUUGGCAUGAACUUGCUUGUCUGCUAGCGCAUAUCUGACAUGGAAUUUAAACUGGCAAGAACAGGGUGCAGACCAGGCUAGACAGAACCAUGCUGCUGGAAAUGGAGACAUUACAGAGGAUAGGCUAUUGGGUAAUGGCCCUUAUUCUGACCUGGUACAUCAACUAGCACUCACAAAUGCUGCUUAUCAGCAGUGCACACAGGCUGCUAAAUGUGCCUGGGCCAUAAUUCCUGAAGAGGGAGUCCCAGUACUAUCAUUUUUACAUAUCAUGCAAGGGUCACAGGAACCCUACGCACAAUUUCUUGCAAGAUUACAAGAGGCAGUGAGGCAUCAGAUUCCUCAUACCUUGGCUGCAGAAAUGCUAACCUUUACUCUAGCUUUUGAGAAUGCAAAUGCAGAUUGUAAAUGUGCACUGGCACCGGUUAGGUGUACAAAAACUUGGGAAAUUUUCUCAGAGCUUGUUAAGAUGUAGCAACUGAGCUUUAUCGAUCUGCAAUGUUAGCUGAAGCAAUGGCUAAUUUAGCUGUUGACAAAUCUAAAAAGAGCCAAGGGUCAAACCCUAAAAUGGGAAAAUGUUAUAAUUGUGGAAAAACUGGACAUUUUAAAAAGGAAUGCCACCAGAUCUCAGGACAGAAAGGAUCUUACAAUGCUUUUCCCCCCGGCCCCCAGCGGAAAGAACACCAGGACUUUGUCCUCGCUAUGACAAAGGAAAUAACUCGGCUAAUCAGUGCUGCUCAAAAUUUCAUCAGAAUGGCACCCCCCUGUUGGGAAAUGAGAUGGGGGCCUGUACCCGGGCCUCACAAACAAUGAGGGCAUUCCCAAUUCAGACCUCAACCCUGUUUCAGGCAUGGGUUCCCAGAGGCAUAUUGAGUCCCUCACCCGAGGAACUCCAGGAAGUGCAGGAUUAGAUCUCCCAGCCAGAGAAAGGGUUACAUAAGGUGGGGAAGACAAACCCACCAAGAUUCUCACUGGCAUUUGGGGACCUUUACCAGCAGGAUAUAUGGGACUAAUUUUAGGCAAAAGCCACCUUAACUUGCGAAGGCAUUACUGUAGUCGCAGAAGUUGUUGACUCUGAUUAUGAAGGAGAAAUUCAAGUAGUUUUAUUGUCACGAGAUCUUCGGGUUUUUGAACCGAGAGAAUACAUAGUGCAAUUAUUACUUAUUCCCUGCAAAUUACACCCUUCUCCAUGAAAGGAGAAACAAGGAAAUAAAGGGUUUGGGAGCACAGCUACACGGGAAAUCUAUCUAUCCCGACCCAUAGCCUCUAAUAGACCCACCUGUGUAGUACAAAUUAAAGGAAAUAAAUUUUAUAGGUUUAUGGAUACGGGAGCUGAUGUGUCAGUGUUACCAGCAGGUCUUUGUUCUUAGAGCUCCCAAGAUGGCGGCAAGCCUUUUGUUCUCUGACCUGGAGUUCUUGGCCUCACAGAUUCCAAGGAAUGGAUCCUUGGGCCAUGCAGUGAGUGUCAUAGCUCUAUUAGAAGCUCUUCCAAAAGUCGUGCUGCUAUCUAUGGACUAAAACAUACUCAAACAAUAAUGACCUCUGGCGUUUAGGCUCAAUGCUCAGAGCUAAUUGCAGUCAUUCAGGUUUUACAGCUCACAGCUUCAGAUCCUAUCAACAUUGUCUGUGUUCAGUUUAUGUCGUAAAUGUAGCCGGUCACAUAGAAACUGCUACAAUUAAAAGUACACUAAACCCAGAACUGCUAAUUUAUUUUUAAGACUUCAACAAGUUAUUUGUUCUAGUGCAGCUCCUUUUCAUAUUUCUCAUAUUCCUUCUCACACACAACUUCC